GAUGGAUGAGAAAAGAUAUUGUCUAUAAUAAUGAUACAUGCUAUAAUACUUAGCUUUAAUAAAAACCAUGUUACAUACUAAUAACUUAAAGAAAUGAUUUGAUCAAGGGGUAAAAUAACUGGUUGGUUAAAUGUAUAUAAGGACGGAAUUAACCUAUAGUUAGCAUUCAGAAGACAACAAAGAAACCUACAGGCAAGCAGUAUUCGAAUAGUAUCAAGUCCAUAAAUCAGAUCAAAAUGAAAGUAGAAAUGAUUUUAGCGUUUAUUGUUGUUUUGGUAACUAUGUCGUUAAGUAAUGCUGCAAAUUCGAACGAAGAUCCGGAUAGGCAAAACUUUGGUGGUGGACUUUUUCCUGGAAAUGGUUUCUUGAACAAUCUAUUCCAACCAGCGCAACCAUAUCAACCAAUGAACCGAUUUAACAGAUUCCCUAACCGAUUUGGUAAUCCACGGUUGAAUAGAUUUGGACAAAAUAGAUGGGCAGGUCAAAAUAAUUUCUUUAAUCCAGGAAGUUGGGGAGGAAACCAACGAUCUGUUAACCCAUAUCAGAUUGCUGGCCCUAGCAGUAACUUUAUCUGGUAAUCAUUUUGAAGAUGUAAUUAUUGUUAUUGUAACAUGAAUAUCAUAUGCAUUCCAUAUAACUG